AGUGUAGUGGCCUAGCACGCCACCCUCUCACGGUGGAGACCCGGGUUCGAUUCCCGGA
rnacentral:tRNA from 1 species